rnacentral:lncRNA from 1 species
GUUGAAAAGUUACUUUCUUCUUGUCCAGUCCUUGAGGAUUUGCAGAUAUCAAGGUGGCAGUGGGAUAACGUUAGGAAUUUUGUGAUUGCAGUCCCUUCAUUGAAAAGGUUGACUUUGGACUUCAGUACACCUGAGAUGGACUUAUAUGAUGGCGAUGAUUACGAAGAUGGUGUUGAGUACAAACUGAUAAUUACUGCACCAAAUUUGGAGUAUCUAAACCUGAUUGAUUAUAUGUCAGAUUCAAUUCAGGUCAGUUCCAUGACCAGAGUAACUGAAUCACGCCUUUCUGUUUACAAAAUCUUAACAUGUGUUCAGCGGACAGCCGAACAAACAAGUAAUUAUGAAAGCAAUGUGCGUGAAAUAUUUCGAAGCAUCCCAAAUGUCAAGCACCUAACAAUAGGCGAAUUUACCAUGAAUGUAAGCCAUGACUCAAAUUCCAAUCCUGCUUAUUGCUUUCUAAUUGUUAUACCAUCAAUUGCUUUCUUGGUCACAACUUAUAGCUGUCUUCAUACGUUUGCAGUCUUUGGGUGAAUCUCUUGAUAGCAGGCUGCCAGUGUUUCAGAACUUGGUCCACCUGGAGAUCAGUUUUUAUGUAGCGAACGGCGCUAUACUGCUGCCAAGUUUGCUCAAAAUCUCUCCUAAACUGGAAAGCCUUAUCUUGCCUCAGGUACAUUACAUAAGAGACUUGCACAAUUUUGAGAGAAAUAUGGUGAGCGUUGAGCACUCCUGUUUUCUUUUGACCAAAAGUUGAUUUGUUUGUAAUUUUUUUUCCCUAUGUCCUGGAUUUCAGGGGAUUACCAGUCCAAAUGUAAUCGGGUGGUUUAACCCUGAGGAGAAUCAAGUUAAGCCUCCGCAAGACGUACCUGAAUGCCUGCUAUUUCGCCUGAAAAAUGUGGAAAUUUCGCGAAUUACUGGAAGAGUAGAGGAAGAAGUGGAGGUGUUGAUAUAUCUUCUGGGAAAUGCAAUGGUUCUAGAGAAGAUGACGAUUUGGUACGAAGAAUAUUAUGUUUCCGGUGGACCGAUGGAUACUACUAAUUAUCCAACUGCUCGUCGGGUGCAGGAUCGUUUAUCUUUCACUGACAAAUUGAUGAACUGCACUAGGGGAUCUGCUGCUUGUCAACUUGACAUACAAAUGCCUGAACUACAACUCUGAGCUCUGAACUUGCGACAGAAUGUUGGUAUUGUAUUGUACAUAUCUGCACUUGUUUCUUGUGCAUUAGGAAGAAAGUGAAGAAUCUGUGCGUAAAUAAAUACUUAUAGUAUUCGAAUUUUAUAGGUAUCAGAUUUAUUUUUAAGAUUAUCCUACUCUAAAUGACAUACGACUUAUACAAUAGAUACAAACUAAAUAAUCACUCACCUAACUUUAGAAAUUCCCAUAUUUAUAUCCAUCACUCAAACAUGUAUUUUUUAAUAUCAUUUUGCAAGUGAGCUCUUAUUUUUGGAUCACUUUAUCCUCUUGAUAUUUUAAUUUUUCUCUAUAUAACACUCUUAGCCUUUUUUUUUCCUGUUAGUAUUGUCUUCUAUUAAAACAAAUUAAUACAUAAAUCUCCUCCCCAACUACUUUAAAGUGAAAGUCUAAGAACUGCCGCAUGCUGUUUGAAGAACCCCCAUGUUUUUAAACUCAUAUCGGACCGGGUGGUCCAAUCGGUCAAAUAAAAAAUUGGCCGGACAUCUGGUCCGAGUCAACUUAAAUAACAGCAUUUUCAAAAGUUCAGUCAAAAUCAUUCAAAGAUCAGGUUUGACCAGGCACUAGUGAAACCGAAACCUGGUUUUUCCAUUUUCAUAUAUUUUGAUGAUUUUUUCCCCUUCCCUUCCUUUGAUCUUUGGCUAGAGGCUAAAAACUAAUCUAAAAAGAGAAAAGAGCAAAAAUGGGAAGAGAAGAAAUUGAACUGCCAGAUGCAAUACUAAUUAUCCACUCCACGGGUAGAUUUCCCUUGUCAUCCGAAAAUGUGAGACUGAUAUGGAAUUUCUGGACCUUGUAUAGAUGGGUUAACCUUUUCGUAUCAGCGGCCUAAUUGGAUUAACUUCAGUAAGUCUACAUUGUCGUUUAAAGUUUGAUAAUGAAAAUCACUAUUGCUUUUGAAAUUUCCCACAGGCCUAAGAACAAUACCAGAAAACUCAGUAUCCAUAGCUACAUAAGGAUAGUCAUCCACAAUUUCUCGGAUAUAUGCAAACACUUCUUCAAGAUUAUCAUUCCAUAGCUCCCGAAUUUGAACUGAUUCAUUUGUAGGCAAAAGUGACACCUUUCUUUUUAACUGUUUCAAACAAAAUCUACGCAAAAUUUCUUUCAAAGAACCUAAUCAUCAGAGAUCCUUGAGAUUACCAGAACCUAUACCCAAUCUAUUGGACAACCCUCCAAUUCCAACAGAUCUACAAGAAAGUCAAAACCCAGAAAAAUCAGCCCAGAAAGCAACAAUUAAUCAAAACCUACAGAGCAUUGGCUAGGGGCUAAGAACUAAUCUUAAAAAAAAAAAAAAAACAAAAAUGGGAAUGUGAUAAAAGAAAAGAGAGAGUUAUGGUGUAGUCUAGAGGAAGAAGAAGAAGACAAAAUAAUAAUAAUAAUAAUAAUAAUAAUAAUAGAGAGCAAGUGACGGUUGCUCCUCCUUAUUCCUUGGCUGUUCCUUCACGUGAGUUUCCUUCUCAGAAGCCAUGAAUCAAAAUUAACUUAUAAAAACCAAAAGGCUUUAUCGGGACUCAAGAGAACAAGGCUUCCUAGGAAGAACAAGAAAUUGAAGGAUAGAUCAUACCAAGUAAGUGACGGCCCAACAAAGGAAACAACAAGUAUUAGGUUUAACAUUUAUUUGUUUUGAAUGCCCUAAAACUUUCUAAUAAUUGUGUUUCAGACUUUUAUAGUUUUAUUAAAAUGUAAAAUUAACCUAUCACAUUUUCCAAAUUACUUUAUUACUUAUGGCUUUUAAAACUAUUUAAGUAGAGUCCUUUUAGACUAAAUCUAAACUCAUAAAACAACUAUGUAAAGUUGUAAACCCCUAAAUUAUUUAAGAGGAACUUUUAUGUAUUAUUUUAAUUAUGCAUCAUUAAUAUAUAUUUAUGACGUAUUUAUAACGUCAUCCAAUUCAACUCCCAGUUGGACUCGAUCGAAUUCAUUGACCCCUGACCCCUGAGUUUGGCUAAGUCAAUACCUGGUCUGAGUCUGAAAACAUUAGAAGAAACUAGAGAAAUCGAAAGAUUUUAUACUUAUUCAAUGGAAUGCACUCGAACAACAAGUUGCUACUUUUUAUGAUUUAUACAAGCUUGGAAACACGAAAUAAGAAAUGAAAUAUUUAAAUUUUGGAUUGCAUUAAAUUGUUUGAGCAAUUUAAGGAGAUCUAUAUAUCUUCUGGUUACCUUGAAUUUAACAUGGGAUUAGAUAUAUUAAUGGGUUGGGUCUGGAUGGAUCUGUAUUGUUAGAUCUAGAUUUUAGACCUAUUAAAUUUUUUUCAUAACCACGUCUACACAAACUUUAUGAAUUUGAAAACUAGUUUAAAAUAAUUAGGGGUGUUAAUCGGGUUCUAUGAGUUGGACAUUGACAAAUUCAAGCUUAGUUCAAAAAAUAAAUAGGGCUUUCAAGCGUUCGAGUUCAUAAUAUAGACACACAUAUGCACUAGCCGGACCAUAAUCAGGAUUGAGUCUAAUAAAAUCCAAACUUGACUCACAUUUAUUUUGGGCAUAUUAUUUAGGCCCAAACUUUACUCAACCCUAAUAAACAUAAGGCUCCUUGGACUUUUUUGGGGCUAAACUAAAAAAAAUAAGUGAUAGUUUGGAUAUGUGUAAAGCCAUCCAAAUGGUCAUCCAUACUACUCAUACCAUAUUUUGUCUCUCUUUUACUAAUGGCAGAAAUUACAUCAUCAAAAGAUAUCAAAGGACAAAUCUGAAUUUGGUUGUACUUGUGGGGUUAGCUUAGGUGUAGCUUGUGAAAAUUCUUGCUAAAAAGAAAAAAUUGACCUGUUGGUGAGGUUUAAAGACUAGAGUGAAUGAGUGUUAUUUAGAACUUAGUAGAGGUUCCCUGCUCCCUUGCCCUGAGUCCCACAUCGAAUAGUUAGAGUGUGCGUGAGUUCCACUUAAAUUCCAUGGGUGCAACCAGAAGUCAGCAAUUGCCUUUUGGUUGUACUUGUGGGGUUAGUUUAGGUGUAGUUUGUGAAAAUUCUUGCUAAAAAAAAGGACAAAUCUGAAGAAUGGAUACUCUAGAUCUACAGAAAAUAAAAACUACACUAUACAGCUCUAAAAAAUAUUUUAAAAAUAAGAUAAAAUAGUUGUAAUCCCACGAAUAUUUGUGCUUGCUUUCAAUUACCAGAUCUACUAACUAUUUCAAAUCUAGAUAUUAUAGUGAAAUUCAUCAAAUAGACCCAAGAAUUCGAUAUCUAAUAAUUAGAAUAUGAAAAAAACUCAGAUUUAAUAAAGAAAAGGGGGAAAAAACUAUGUAAAAUUCUCACUAGAAAUUUCAAGCAAAAAAUAAAACUCUCACUAGAAAAAGAGAGAAGAAAACUCUCACUAAAUAACACUACAAAAGAAGAAACUCUCACUAAAAAAUCCUAGAAGAGAUUUUAUUUAGACAAACAAAAAGAAACAAUAUAGAGGAUUCCUCUUAUGGGGAAAGAUCAGAAAAAUCUGAUCUCUCUCCCAUGGGAGAGUUGGAGGAAGUUUUAAAACCUUCCACUCCUAUUUCCAAGCCAAUCUUCGGCCUCUCUUUAAAUUUGCUAUACCAUAUUUUCUCUCAAUGGCAUUUUUAGUACAAAGGAAUGAUAAAAUUCAAGUGAUAUAUAUUUUCCAUUUUCCCUUCCAAAAGGAGACUACUAAUAAUGUUGAAAAAUUAUGGAAGAAAAUGCAAAAACCAUUCUCACUCUUUCAAUUUGCAUAACUUGCAUUUUGCACUCACAUUACAGAUUCGUUUAUUGAAGUGACUAAAUCAAACUUGAUGAACAUUCAAUAACGGUACAACAUAAUUCAUUAAUUUCAGUAAAAUAUUUUCAUAACCACCAAAAAAGAGGGUAAAAAACAACCAAAAUGAUCCAACAAAGGGGUCAAUAGCUACUAGAGUACUAGUAAUAUUGUGGUAGGACAGGCGAAGAGAAACAUGUUAUUGCACUAGAUACAACAGAGGGGAUGAGAAAUCAAAAGUACUUAAAUUGGAGCUAAAUAAAAAACACUAGUAUACCAUUUUCAAGGGUUGAAUAUGCAAAUUAAAAUAAGGGUAACCAUUUUAUACAUUGUCAAUGUAUAAUUGUUUUUACACUAGUAAGGUUAUAACUAGGGCUGCAAACGAGUCGAGCCGAGUCGAGCUUUGAGCUAAUCGAGUCGAGCUUUAGCUAAAUUUUAUCAAGCUCGAGCUCGAGCUCGAGCUCGACGAGCUGGCAAUUUUCGAGCUCGAGCUCGAAAAAAAUAAAAAAAUUUUUUUUAUUUUUUAAAAAAAUAAAUAAAAUAAUAUUUUUUUCUGAAUAAAUAAUAAAAUAUUAAGGAUAUAUCCGUAAUUUCACUAUGAAAAUAAAAAAUAAAAAAAUAUAUAUAUAAUAUACGUAAUUUUAUUAUUAAAUAAAAAUAAAAAUAAAAUAUAUAUAUAUAUAUUCAAGCUCGCGAACCGGCUCGCGAGCUAACGAGCUUAAUAUUCUGAGCUCGAGUUCGAGCUCGAGUUUGACUCGAGCUCGACUCGAGCUCGAUUAAUGUCGAGCUCGACUCGAGCUUGACUCGAGCCGCUCGCGAGCGGCUCGCGAGCGGCUCGAUUCGUUUGCAGCCCUAGUUAUAACAUACCACAUAACUUGAGUUCAAAUUUGAAAUUCAAAUCAUGCGCAUGUGCUAACGAGCGCGGGAUAUACAUAUAACAAUUAACUCAUCCACCAUCAAGUUUUACAUUUAUAAUAUUUUAAAUACCCCACAAGUGAUUUUUCACAAGUAUACGAGUCGUUUAUUGAGUAUAAGGGUAUUAGGUGUCGAUCCUAUAGGGAAGAAUUUCAAUUACCGGUGAUUUUUGAAUUCCUUUAUUAUUUAGACUAUCACAAGCACAAGAAAUUAAAUUUACACUAUAAAAUUAACAAAAAUACAAUAGAAAGCUCCUAGAGGUAUGAAAUUUCUUACUACUCUUGCAAAUGACAUUACUGGUUAAGUGAAUGCUCCUAGAGUAAUUUUCUAAUAUAUGUGAAAGCUCCUAGAGUAAUUUUCUAAUAUAUGUGAAACCGACUCUUGUAGUGAAUUAACUUACUUGUAAUUAAAUCAUACAUACUCUCUUGGUUAUGAAAUUAACUACAAAUUCAUUUCUUUCAUGAAAUUACAUGAAACAAGUCACCAAAACCACAUUGGUGCUCCUCUACUCUCGUGAGUAAACUCCCUAGAUUUAUCACUUUCUUGAACUAAUGGUAAAUUCUAAUUCUCAUUGCAAACUUAACACCUUAAGAUUGUCACAAUUAAUGACUGGUUAAUCAUGAGUAGCUAAACAAAAGUGAUAAAUAACUUGUUCAAAAUAAUAGCACCAAAUAACCAAAUAAACAUCACUAACAAGAUAUAGCAAGUUCAUCCACACUCUAGACAGAAACUUUAGAAACACAAAUCCAAAACUUACAUAUUAACCAUAUUUAAGAAUCCAAUACAAAAGAUAAAGAGUUGGAAAAGAGAUAACUCUUGUCACAUGAGUUUCAACCCCUCCUUUUUCAUCCUAAUCUAGUCAAUACACAAGAGUGGGUAAUACACAUAACUAUCUAAACUAUUCUAUACUAUACUAACCUAACUAAUGAACUAAGGAAAUUCUAAUGAAGACUACAUUUUUGGUAAGUUUCUCUAGCCUUUCAAAGUUUUAAAAUGGUCUCCAAAGGCUGCUAUUUAUAGAGAAUUCAACUCAAGGUGAGUUGUUUCUUGGUUGGCAAAGUUGGCUUUUGAACUCACCAAGAGUUGUUCUCUAAAUUUUCACACUCUUCUUGGUCAGAUACAGCCGAAUUCUGAGUUGUAGAUGAGUCAGAAAAGUUGUGUAAAUGCAAAACAAGUUGUAGAGCAAGUUGCAGCAGAAAAACUAGAAUAUGCAACCUCAAAUACGCUACCUUACGUUGCGUAUUGCAUCUCACAUAUUGCCUUUUGUAGGUUUGCGCUUUUUGGGCAGAAUUCAUCUUUGCUCUGUUUUUUGUCCAAUUUCAACUGAUAUUUUCUCAAUGAUGAAAGUCGAACUAACUCUUGUACGAACAUAAAAGUUGUAGGACUUGAGUUAGCUUUCCAAUGCCUUAAGAAUUAUCCAAUUUGGAGCUCUGUGGACCGAUAAAUGACCAAAAUAGCCUCGAAUGGUUAGAACUCUGUUUCAGCUUUCGACCAUGAAAAUGUACUUUGGUAUUUUGAUAUUUUGACUAAGACAAUGACCAAACUGGACUUUGAUAUCUUCAUAGAAAAUGGAGUUCUAUCUCUUAAUUUCAAAAUGGUGUAUGAAUUACCUCAAUCUGAUACUUGUAACUCAAGAUAUAGCCAAAACACCACAGGGUAUCAAAGCUGUGAAACUUCCUUCUUGUAUACUAAGUUGCAUUUCAUCUCUUGCACUUCAUAUUCUCUUUUUAUCAUUUCAAACCAUCAUCAAUCAUCCAAUUAUCUUUUCAACUCACUCCAUUUGAUGAUUGAAUUUUUAAACCUACAAAAAUAAGAAGUUUUCACUAUUAAAAUCCAUAAAAAUAUAAUUUUUAACACUUAAAUCACAAAAUGCAUAUUUUCACUGACAACUUAGUUCAGUAGCUAUAAAAGUAAUUAAAACAUACCAAAACUAAUUAAUAAAACACACUAAAAACAUAUAAAAUACACACUUAUAAAACUCUCCCAUAUUUAAACCAUUACUUAUUCUCAAGCAAUAAAAAUUACAAACCGACAAUGAUCCAACAUUUUGAAAAUAAACAUAUGUGCACAAUUCAACUUCAUUUCCUAAAAAUAAGGUAAAUAACCAUUAUACAAUCACUCCAUUAAGCUCAAGUACUCAUAAUAUCAAGUAAAGAAGAGCCAAUUAUACCAUAAUUGUAACUAGUUCACGUCAAUUUCUCAUCCUUAUCCAAUUCCACAAGCAAGUAACUCAUAUGGUCAAUAAAAUAUUUCUAAACCCAUGAUCAUCUUUUUAUUCAAACUUAAAGAGAGAUUUAUUCAUAUAACAUAGCUAAAUAUUACUCAAGUUAUGAAAGUGCCUUUUUACGAGAAAAUCGAUAUUUUUAGAUGAAAAUUGCCGGUUACUCAACACUUUACAUACUGAAGUUGUGUUGCAUACUGUUAAUUUAAGUACCAUUUUACGCAAAAGUCGACAUUUGUAGAAGAAAACUCUCAGUUAUUAAGUACAAGAACCAUUGGAGUAGAACAACUUUUAUUCUCGUUUUUCUUUUUUUUUCUUCUCCUUUUUUUCAAAGUAAAGAUAAUAAUCAUUCCCUCAAAAGAAUAAUCAUGAGAAGAGUGUUACACUUAUUGACUAAAUUAAUCACUUAACUAUGUAAAAUCAAGUAAAGAGAAGAAAUUUCAUCAAUUUGCAAAAUUUAGGCAUAAUUAUCUCUACUUUGCAAGAUAUACUUUCCUAUAAAUACAUAAAUUAUAAUCAAAUAAUAAUUAUUUUCAAGUUAAAUAAGAAAAGAAGUUUUCAAGUCACAUAUAUUUAUCUCAAAAGUAGAAAGAAUUUGAAUUACUGAUGGUAUGAAACUUGUUACCCCUUGGAUAAAAUUGAAAAAAAUUUGAAAUCUUUUGAUGCAAAUUUGUAAUUUUGGAAAAAAUUUGGCAGAGUUUUCCCUUAAAACUGGACGAAACUCCCUACCAACAAAUCCAAUUUUGAACAAAUUAAAAAACAAGAAAUAUUUCCAAGGCAAAUCUAAAUCAUUUCCAUCACAAGUCAAUCACAACCAACAUAUAUAAUAUCAAUUCUCCCUCCUCCCCCGCAACACUUAAAAUACACAUUGUCCGCAAUGUGUAAAAAGGGAAACUAAGAUAAAAAAAAAAAAAAAGAAUACUCCCAUAUAGUUGUGAUUGAAAUGUGUAACAUUGAAUCUUCACAAUCCAUUGUCCGUGUUUCUUCAAAGUUUCAUGAGUUCCAUUGGAAUCCAUUAGUAAUACAACCUAAAAUGCAAAAUAGCAAAUAAACUAGGUAAGGGUCAAUGAUGCAAAAAGGUGACAAAGGCAUGAAGAAAAUUUUGCAAAUAACUCUUUGCCAAAGUCUCUCACAUCAUCACACCACAUUUCCCAAACUCUUUAAACAUUUAGCACAAUUAUCAAGAAUAUUUAGCACAUUUUUUCUAUAGGUAAUUAUAACAUCACCAUAUAAUAACGAAAUUAGGAGCAAAACUCAAUCUAAGAACAUACAUUAUGCACAUGUUCAAUUUUACCCUUAAAUUAUCACCAAAAUUGCUAAAUUCUUCACAUAUUUAAAAUUCAUUAUCCAAUCAUACUCUAUAUGAAGAUUAAGCAAUUAAAUAGUCUAAAAUUCACCGUAUAAUGAAUGUGUACAUGUAAGCAUCAUAAACACGUCACAUUUUAGCAAUUUCAACCAUCCAAUUAUGUUUAACAACAUUUCAAGACCAAGUACCUCAUUGAUCAUAAAAUAGGAAAGUACAUAAAGUGAAAUAUUGCAUAAAUCACCACAUUCCCACAUUUGAUCAUCUAAACAUGCUUAGAGAUGUUACAUAAGCAUAAGGGAGCUUAUAUGCAUCAACAAAUAACAUCACCAAUUCACCAUUCAAAGUGUAUCAAUAAAACUCUACAAGAUAUGUAAAUAGUAAAUAUUAACAUACGAAAUUAAGUUCAAGAAAUUUACCUCAAGUUGGUAGAGUGAUGUUUGGUGAUGUAAAUAAUGCAAAAAUCCUAUGAAAUUCACCCCAAUUAACCUCCAAUUGCUUGAAAUAGAAACUAUGAAUCCUAACCUUCAAUCGAUUUUUGAGAUGUUUUUCUUGAAUUCUAAUCGGUUAAAAUGACUCUAUGAAGGUCAAAUGAUGUUUGUUGGAUGAUUUCUUGCAAGAAAAUGGUGUAUAAGAGGAAAUUGGUGAAGUGUGUGUGAGAAAAUAUGAGGAGAAGAAAAAGAAGAGCAUGAACAAGGAACCUGCGUUUUUCUUUAAAAAAGCUAAAAAUGCGAGUUCAUAAAAUGCAGCCUUGAAGUCGCGUUUUUACGAUUCGUGUUUUCUGAUGUAAUUUUGCUAGACCAAAUACGUGACUUCUGAAAACGCGACUUUAAGUCGCAUUUUGAAGCUUGCAUUUUCUUCUUUAUUUUUGCAGAAUGGAAUACACGACUUGAGAUCACAUAUUUAUGAGCUUACGUUUUCUUCACUCUAUAGUGUUGCUGCAAAAAUUUCUGAACUUUUCAAAAAUUAUGCUUUUAUCCCAAUUACUCAAAAUGCAUCCUAGAUCAUUUUUUUGCCAAAAUAAUCAAUACACGCACAUGUAAAAUGAUCAAAAACAUGUAUUCUACCCCUUCAUAACGAAUCAAAAACAGCAUUUGCUCAAAUUGAGGGGUGGAGUUUCUUGAUCAAACUUCGCCUUUUUCACCUCAAAGGGUCACAUUUGCUUCUAUUUCCCAAACUUACAAAUAAAAACAACAAAACAAUUUAAACACAUGAUUUAAACAUAAAAUCACACCAAAUUAACCUAAAUUACCAAAAUAUUGGGUUGCCUCCCAAUUAGCGCUUUUGGUUAUAGUCGUUGGUUCGACUAUUGAAGCUCAUUUUUCAAGAAGGUUUGGUUAAUGAAUAAUCCAUCAUUUUAGGUCGUGGUGGAUCAUUAAAAUGUGACUUUAUGACAAAAGCAACAUAAUCAAAUGAUAAGAGAGAUGAAAGUGAUUUACCUAUCUCAAGUGAUUCAUAGAUAUUACCUUGAAUGUGUAUCACUUAAGAACGCACCAAAGGAACGUCCGCGUGGCUUUCUUGGGGAAUAAUACCUUUAAAAUCUAUACUCUCAAUACAUUCCUCAAGAGGGGUGAAAAAUGAGUCGUUAAGUCUCACCUCUUGAGGUUUAAGAUUUGCUCCAAAGGUACUAUCAUGUGAAAUGGAUAUUUUCUUAUUGAAACACAAUUGAGAUUCAUCAUUUUCAUCAAAAUAUAAUCCAUUUUCACAUACAACAUUCCUACCAUUCAUGCUAGGGUCAUUUUGCAUAUCAUCAGAAGAAAUAACUUCACAUAACGCAUGCAAUUGUUCAUGUAAUCUACCAAAAUGAGAAACUAAUUUAUCUAACCUUUCUUUAAUUCUAGCAAAACAAUCAAAGGUUGCAUUAGCUAACUUUUCUAUAGCUAAAUCAAAGUGAUUAGAGAAUUUUUCUAUGGUUAGCUCCUAAGAUGGUUUAGAAUCAUUAGCUAAUGGUUCAUUUUCUAAUUCCCAAGAUAAAGAUGCAUUAGAUAACAUUUCUACUGCCAAUUCCCAAGAUGGUUUAGAUUCAUAUUGGACACAUUCAGGUUGGUAAUCAUAAGAACAUGGAGAAGCAAUAUUAACACUAUGAUUAUCCUAACCAUAUGCAUAAGAAUUGCCCCAACUAGAGUUGUUUUGAUCAAAACAAAAAUUAUAAUGCCCAAAUUCAUCAUAAUAAUCCACAUUUUAUACUUGCAUACAUUCAUAAGUAGUAUGAUACCCUCUACACAAGUCAUAAAUCACAUGAUAAGAAUUGAAAGCAUUGUCAUUUCUCUUUUGUUCAAGCAUGUUUGUUAUAGUGUCCAAUUGAAUUUUUAAUGUAAUAACAUCAAGUUUAGCCUUUAUACUUUUUAAACCGUUUUCAAAUGAUAUACCUUCGGUAAUUUCUCGAUUACCUCUAUUCAAGAACUUUGCCCGUGGUAACAAUUUAUUGUCGAUCUUCCACUUCUCAAGCAUUGUUCGCCCAUAAUUCCUACUCUUCUAGAGUUCCUAAACAUGUUUUCAAAGUAACUCAAAAACAUAUUUAGUCAAGAAGAAUAGAUGACUCAACAUAUAUAAAAUAUUCAAAUAAAGACUCAACUAGACACUAAACAUAACAAACAAGACACUAGACACAACAAAAACAUGAAAAACAAGUAAAAAUAUUGAGCAAAUCCACCCCAACAACGACGCCAAAAACUUGAUGAACGCGAGGUAUACAUAUAACAAUUAGCUUCCCACAGUCAAGUUUUACAUUUAUAAAAUCUUAAAUAUGCACACGUGAUUUUUCGCAAAUAUACGGGUUGUUUAUUGAGCAUAGGGGUAUUAGGUGUCGAUCCCACAGGGAAAAGUUUCAAUUAUCAGUGAUUUUCGAACUCCUUUAUUAUUUAAACUAUCACAAGUACAAGAAAUUAAAUCUACACUAUAAAAGUAACAAAAUACAAUAGAAAUCUCCUAGAGGUAUGGAAUUCCGUACUACUCUUGCAAAUGACAUUACCGAUUAAGUGAAUGCAUUAUCUUGGCUAAUUAUGGCAUAAUUUCCUAAUGUAUGCGAAACCUACUCUCGUAGUGAAUCAACUAUACUUGUAAUUAAGCCAUACCUACUCUCAUGGUUAUGAAAUUAACUACAAACUCAUUUUUUCUAUGAAAUUACAAGAAACAAGUCACCAAAGUCACAUAGGUGUUCCUCUACUCUCAUGAGUGAACUCUCUAGAUUUAUCACUUCCUUGAACUAGUGUUAAAUUUCAAUUCUCAUUGUAAAAUUAACAUCUUAAGAUUAUGCCAAUUAAUGGCCAGUUAAUCAUGAUUAGUUAAACAAAAGUGAUAAAUAACUUGUUUAAAAUAAUAUCACCAAAUAGUCAAGUAAAUAUUACUAAUAAGAUAUAACAAGUUCAUCCAUACUCUAGGCAUAAACUUUAGAAACACAUAAUGAAACACAAAUCCAAAACAUGUAUAUUAACCAUACUUAAGAAUCCAAUACAAAAGAUAAAGAGUUGGAGAAAAGAUAACACUUGUCACAUGAGUUUCAACCCCUCUUUCUUCAUCUCCAUCUUCAUUCUAAUCUAGCCAAUACACAAGGUGGAUAACACACAUAACUAGCUAAAGUAUUCUAUACUGUACUAACCUAACUAAUGAAUUAUGGAAAUUCUAAUGAAAACUACAUUUUUGAUGAGUUUCUCUAGCCUUCUAAAGUUUUUAAAAUGGUCUCCAAAGGCUGCUAUUUAUAGAGAAUUCAAGUUCAAAGUAAGUUGUUUCUUGAUUGGCAAAGUUGGCUUUUGAAUUCACCAAGAGUUAUUCUCCAAGUUUCCACACUCUUCUUGGUUAGAUAUAGUCGAAAGUCUGAGUUGUAGAUGAAUCGAAAAGGUUGUGUGAAUGCAAAGCAAGUUGCAACAGAAACCUAGAAUACGCGACCUAUUGUAUCCCACGUAUUACCUUUUGCAAGUUUGCACUUUUUGAGCAGAAUUCAUCAUUUCUCUGUUUUUUUUAUCAAACUUCAACUAAUGUUUUUGAGGAGGUUGUGAACCCCAGUUGAUAUUUUGGGUGGUUGUGAAUUCUAAAUAAAUUUUGGGGAGGUUGAACCCCAGUUUAUGUCUUUCUUAACAUAUGUACCCUUAGGAGGUUAGCUUUUGUUCGUAUUGAAUGUUUUGAAAAUCCAAAUUAUGUUUUGAUCUUAAGGCAAUUGGUGUGUUGAGAUUGAGCAAGUUGUGCACGCAAAUAUGCAAGAGAUGAUAAGAAUGGUAUAUUGUCAAAAAUCGUAGCAGUUUGUUUUCCUUUGUUUACUUGGUUAAACUUGAACAUUGUCGAACUUUAUUAUUCAUUUUUAAGUUUGCUAAUUUUUUGGAAACUCGUUUUAGUAGUUGUACAUGUCUUGUUUAAUAGAAAAAAGACAUGUUUUGUGUUCAAAAUACUAUGGGCACACACGAUUUUUAUUAGGCUUAUGAGCUUACAGUUUUGUUUUUGUUUUUGUUUUUGUUGUUUGAAAAAAAAAAUUUAGAUGUAUAGGAUAACUGAGUUCGAUUGAGACAAUCUGGUCUGUUAGGUCUCGAAAGUGUUAUUAAAAAUUAAUUGGACAAGAAAUAUCAACAUAUUGUACUUUUUUUUUUUUAAAGUCAAAAGUAUCGCCUUAGUUAUUGUUACCAAUUAAGUACGGCAAACACUUUUUCUCAUAUUUUGAGACUAAGUUGUCUAAAGUGUUUUUAAACACUUUUUUCCAAAUGAGCCUAAGAAUUUCUUAGGCUCAUUUGGAGCUGCCAUACUUUUGCUCAGAAAAUGUGUUUUUGGAGGAUAAAAGCACUUUUAAAUUAUUUGGUGAGCAUAAAUUCUUGAAUUAAAGAGGUAGAGCUUUUGACUAUUAAAACACUUUUUGCAUAAACUCAAAAUUGCUUCUUUUAGAGCAAUCUUUAUGUUUCAAAUGAAAAUUAAAGUUAUUUUAACGAUUCAAAGCUAGCCCUAUUUUUGUAUAGAAUUAUUAUUUAGCUAUUUCACUUUUCUAAAAUUAAAAUUGACCUCUAGUUUAUCUAUGAAUUCCAAAAUUGCCAAAUAAUUUUCUUUUUUCUUUUUUUUUGAAGAAACCAUUUUUUAAACUAAAAUAAUUGCACAAGUUCAAAUUUUAUAACUUCUAGUACUUUUUUUUUUUCAAUGUAUAGCUAUAUUCGUCUUAUCGUAUUAGAAUUUAAAAAUCAAGGAUUAAAAAACUUGAUUAGUUAUGGUGAAUAAAGGUGUGCUUUUGCGGGAUUGCUUUGGGGACCUUGGGCUGCACAAAGAUAGAAGAACAAAUUUGAAAAAUUAGUAACGCCAUAUUAACCACUAUGUAGUCCAAACAUUUUGUUAAAAUUUUGGAGCAGCAAAUGUUUUAAAAUACAUAGGUAUUUUUUAAAAUUUUAAGGAGAGAAAAACAUAAUUAUCUAAACUUGGGGGAGGGAGGGCAAAUGCACCUCCCCAUCCACCACCACCAACCCCCCCACCCCAAAAAAAAUCCAUCCAUAAAUGGUCCAAUAGAUCAGUCCAACAUUAAGCAAUGAUUCAUCCCCCAAACAGAAAGAUAGAAAAACAUAGCAUAAACUCUUGCAAAUGUGUGCAUUUGUGGGAGGUUUAAUCUUCAUAAGCUGAAGACAACACUUUCCAGUCUAACAACAUAACAAGUUUCAAAUUUUAUGAACAACCUAGGAAAACUAAUAUCCAUAAAGACUCCAGCCUUCACAGCAAGUGAAGACGAGUAAAGUCCAAAUAAGUAUAAUGUUUCACUGGCAGUGACAGUUCCGUGUCAUCAUAUGGAACACUUGACUGGUUCACAGCUAUGAGCAGGUUGAUUUAAACAUCAAGGAUGUCCACAGGAAUAACUAAUAAUGUCACAGUUGAUCUAUGAUAUUGGAGUAACCAUUUUAAGGGCCGUUAAAGCUGAGAACACCAUUUAAUAGAGAAUACCAUUUAAUGGAUUCUAGCCAAUGUCAGUUACAAUUAAGCUACAAAUACAAGAGUGAAACAGUAGCAAUCAUACUUUGUUUUGUGAAAGAGAAUACCAUUUAAUAGCCUGAUGCAACUUAUAAGCAAGCCAAAGAAUGCUAAAAAAAAUUCACCAUAACUAAUGCUUCAAUUGAAUGGGAAAAGAGCAUAAGUGGAACAUAAACAACUAAAUGAGGGAAUCAAAUCUACUCACCAAGCAUUAUCAAACAGGAAAUAGUUGAUGAGGGCUUACCACAGCUCCAAUACAUAGAUGGCUUGGUACUUUCUUGACUUCCCAAGUUUCCCCGCGACCAGACUAAUUUCAAAACUACCCGGCACAACCUGAUGCAAAAUGAUCAUAAGGAUUCAUAUGUAACCCAUUAAGAGAUGUUAAAAGGGUAUAUUUGCGUGAUGUACAUAAUACAUUUGGCCAAUUUAUUUUCUUGCAUAUUUAACAAAGCCCAAUUGUAAACUGUGUUACUUCCAAUACACGAACCAUUUCUUAACUUCGUUAAAAGCUCCCCCAAGAUAACAUGUAUAAUGUGGUUUGAUACCAUGUUGAACCCAAAUGUCAUUUAAUCAUGUUGAAAAAAUGAAUCAGUAAGCAAACCAUAUCCCAGAAAGCUACCAAGAAAAAUGUGCUAGUACUUCUAGUAAUAGGGAAAAUGAAAUUGUGUUGAAAAAAAAUACAAGUUGAUACAUUUGCAAGAAAGAAACCAGCAUAAUAAGGCAUCAUCAGUUUUUCUAGGUUAAAUAUUAUAAUGUAAAACAAGAAUGAUUAGAGUUGCGAAAUGACAAGGCAACUGGCUUGACAGCAAAUUUCAUAAAGAAAAACAUACCAAGAUAGGCACCAAAUGAGUAUGUAGAUUUAAGUGAUACAUGAAAAGUCCAAUCAAGGGAAGCAAGAUCCAAAAUGUAGAAGUCAAACUGUAUAAUGAAGUCACAAGUAAUGAGGGUAAAGGCAAGAAAACAAAUACUAGCUCAAAAUCACUUACAUCGAUAUCUUCUUCUUUGACCGAGUACUUUUUGAAAGUGUCCAAAGCUCCUCCAACAGUGGCUUUGUGACAAUUUCAUUGAAGCGAGCCACCACCUUUACACACAAAAGAAGACAAUCUCCAAAAUAAAAAAAUAAUCAAAAAAAUGCUUCACAACUCAAAAGAAAACCACAUGGAAGUCAAAACAGUGCCUUAGGUCAUUUCUCUUUGACAAACUCAAGUUGGAUACCAUACAACAAGAAUCAUCUAUAUUUUACAAGCCUGCAUUCUACUAAAUCUAUUGCAUCUUAUAUAGAACACCUAGUUAUCAUUAGAUGGCUCAAAACUGGGAUUGACCCUAAAAAUAUGGAAGUUUAACACUAGGAAUGAUAUUCUUAUUGAUUUUUGGGAAGUUGGACAUUACAUUCUACUGAAUUCUAAAAUGAACUCUAUCCAUACUCGGAAGCAGUCGGCCUAUGUUGUGGAUUGACUUAAUUUUGAUUCCAUAGGCAAGAUUUCCAUAUGAAUUGUAAAAGGAAUUUUGAGUGAGAGUGAUAUAUAGAUUUGCUACUUAAAAGAUGAAAACCUAGAUUGUGGAGUGAUUAUGGUGCCAUUCAAUAUUCUCAGGAUUUGGCUAAUUGUCACAAUGUGUUGACAUGUGAAAACAUGUCAUGUGUGAAUAUUCAUUUGAUUUCAGACUUUAGUUUUAGGGUGUAGGUUUUUUUUGACUGAUGGUAGAUGUCUUUUAGUAUGGAUCUGCUUUUUCUCGGUAUGGUUUUGCUAGUAAUAUAAGGUUUUGGGAAGCAAAUGAAAAUUUUAUAUUUGCGCUCUGUUUUCAAGUACUUUGAUAAGCUCUUUGGGCUAGGAAGCCUUUAAGGUCAUCAACUUAAUGGAUAACAGAGAAUCACCUACUUUUAAGAGCAUAAUCGAAAAUCUUAGAAAGUUUUGGGGGUUUAGUCAUUAAUGACAUGGUUAACUGCCUGUUUGCUAAGUUCUCAAGUAUUCGUGGUUUCAAAGAGGUUUUGUCCAACUUCCUAGAUUGGAACUGGCAACUUUCGGAUACUCUUCAAUCCUGAAUAUGUCACUUUCAUUAAAAAGUAAGACUAGCUUACUAAGACAGGGAGUUUGAGAAAGAGGAAGGUUGAUACAGCUGAAAGGAUAGUAGGUCAGGGAUUGUAGAGCUAUACAGUUUUUGCUUGUUAUAAAAUUCUACUGGUUUUGGAAUCUAAAACUUCAAUUUAUCCAGCUGCUGAGUUCUCAUUAAAUUUUCGCGUUGGAUUUUGACAACUUGAGAAUAAGUCUACCAUACUGAAUAUGCUUAGGGAAAAUAUUCGAGGGAAAAUGUACAUAGCUUUUUGAUGGGAAAUUAUUCUCUACCGCUACACUUCCUAUUAAUGGAGGGUUCUUGUAAUCUAAACUUGCUUCAGAUUGCUACUUUUUUCAAGAAAAUGACAAUUUUCCUGGACAACAACAUGGACAUGAUUUCUCCGCCCAAAUUAAGUGUCUUGCCGUUUAGAUUUCAACCAUAUGUGCUUCAGUUGGUAUAAAAGAGGUUGCAGUAUUGUAGAUAACCGUUUUUCAUAUCCAGACUUAAGUCAUGAGGUUUUUCAUGCGCUAGGGGCCUUGACCAUUCUUUGAUGCUAAUAUCAGCCUGAGUCCUGUCACGCCCUAGGCCCUUAGGCCCAAGAUGCGACCUGAAUUUCAGCAAACAAGUUCAACUAUUUGGUUUUCGUUCUCACCGGUCCAAAAUAGAUAUUUUAAAUUAGAUUCGAAUGCUCACACUCUAUUUGUGUAUUGCAUUAGUUUAUCGCACUAACUUAUUCGACGUGAGAUGGGAUAUUACAUUUAUCCCUCUUUUUUAGGCUUUGCGUCCUCUAACCCAAUCUCAUUUCGUAUAGAGGUUACGUGAGAUUCGCUCUAAUGCCAUAAUAUCACACCAAGACCAGAUCUCAGUAGCCAAGUCCAACUAUUUAGACUCCAUCCUUGUUAGCUCAAAGCAAAUAUUUUAAGUUGGAUUUGAAUGCUCAAAUCCUACCUCCGUGAUAAGCUUAUUCUACACACACACAUAUAUGCCAAAAAAUUAUAAAGCUUACCCUAUAAUGUAAAAGUGGAAAUGAAUAUAUAAACAGUAAUGAACAGUUGCAGUUGGAGUCUUUUGGUGUUGCCUGGGUUGGGCUUCUUUGGAGAUCGGUGAUGCCCAUGUGGAGCGGUGGGCAUGUGUAUACAUAAAAUCGCUACAUAAUCUUUUUUCUAAUUUUCUUUUUCAAUCUAAAUUACUCAUUUCUCACAGUAUGAGAUGCCUGCAUUUUUUUUAAUGUCAAAUCGUUACAUAAUCAUCUCCUUCAUACCUUUUUUUUUCUUCCGACCUAAAUCUUUUGCCUUCAUAUUUGCAACUUGUCCAGAAUAUAAAAGGCAAAAAGAUUCGCCCUUACACCUUUAGGAUGUCGAUCUCAAGUUUUGAAAUUAAUAUAAACAACAUGAGUGUUUUUCCAAACCACAAGUAAGGAAAUGCUCAAAGGUCUUGUAUGUCCAAAAAAAUUUGUUUGAUUGGGACAGCUAAAAUUGCUCGAAGGUCUUGCAUGUCCCAAAAAAAAAAAAAUCUAUAGCCAUGUUUGCACAUCUUGAUGACUUGAUUCUAUUGCCUCCGUUUGUGAUUUAGCUUUGCGUUUGGGGUUGGUUUUUCUUGGUACAAAAGUUGGUUUUAGUGCCUAGCGAGCGUCAAAUAUCUCAAUUUUUAUGACUUUUUUUUCAAGUUUUAUAAAUUUAAUCUUUUCUAUUUCAUAGAAACUAUUUUAUGCUACGUAUACAAAAGAGGAAUUUGUAUUUUGAAUAAAAAUUAUGUGUCAUGCAUCCAAACCUACUAAUGCAAAAAAAACAAAAAAAAAUCCACUAAACAUAACCCUAUUUAGGAAUACGUGUGACUCGAGGAUUAUAAUUCUAUUUAUAGAUAACUUUCCUAUUAUUUUUUAGAUUCCUAUUUCAACCCAUCAUAGAAAUAUAAAUUACCCUUAAAUAAAGAACCACAUCCUAUUAGAUACAUUAAAGUUCAAAGUAUGAUUGAUCAUUUUAAUUGAAUUUAAUCUUAUUUAACAAUCUAAGUUCAACGUUGGCUUAAAGAAGCAAUAAUUAAUGCUAUAUUAAGAAUGUUAGAUAACCUGAUUUCAAAGGUCUUGUUUCUCCGUACAGUGAGGAAAAAACACACACACAAACAUGACACAGCAGCAAAAUAACGAAUCGAGGUACCAGACGCAUGGCGUCCGGGCAGGCAAAACUAGUCUAUCUAUCAUUAUGCUGAAAGAAAGUGUGAGUUGCCUUAUGAACAGUGAAUGUGGACUGGUUAUUAGGGGUGGCAAUUCCUGACACAACCCGAAACACGACACGAACCUAACACGAAAUUAAUGGGUUUGGGUUGAGGUUUCGGGAGUUCGGGUCAGAAUCGGUCGACCCGAUGAACCCGAAAAGAAAACAGGUCAAUUUCGGGUCAACCCAUAGUGACCUGAUAUGACCCGAUGUGACCCGUUUACGAAUUAAAACUAAUUUAAUAAACAUAAAAAUUAUUUUAUCUAACUGAACUAAAUGAUUCUUUUUUUUCCAAAGGCAUUAAUUACUUAAUCCUAAAUGAAUUUAUUUAACUUGUGUGAAGUUAAAAUUAUUAUAUUUGGUUUGGGAUAAAACACUUUUAUGGUGUUUAAUUUAUUUUAGAUUUGGUUUGAAAUUAUUUAUUUAAAUUUUUAUUACUUGAUGAUGUAAUUAAUUUUGUGAAAAAUUGAUUUUAUUAGAAAUUAUAGUGAUAAAUUAAUAAAUUAAAAUUAAGUUUCGGGUCAUUUCGGGUCGACCCGCCAACCCGAAAUUUCGAGUUCGUGUCAGGUAUCCUGACCCAUUUUGGAUUUGACGGGUCGGGUUCGGUCAACAGAUUCUUUGUUUACACUUAAGCCGCAACCCGAACCCGACCGAUUGCCACCCCUACUGAUUAUGGCAUAAUUCCAGCAACUUGGUGGUCCUUUUGUUUUGUUAGCUACGCGUGAACUUCUUGGAAAUUGGUCCAGCCAUCUGUGCACCCUUGGAUUGCUUCCAAUUCAAAAUUUGACCAUCGAUCAUCAUUUAGGAACGUUAGGUGCUAGAGUUGAAACGGUGGAUGGUGGUCGUACGAAGAAGUUCUAGUGGGGGGACCUUGCUGCCUACGACUGAUUUUGAUGCAUCACGAAGAAGUUAAAGUGGGGGGACCUUGCUGCCGACUGAUUUUGAUGCAUCACGAAGAUGUUAAAGUGGGGGACCUUGUUGCCGAGUGAUUUUGAUGCAUGCAUGCAUUCCUUCAGACUGGGUUAAUGAAGGCAGCACGUACGUUCUUGGUAAUGAGUAUAGCUUUUUAUUGAUUUCUUGUUUUCCUCAGUAUACUGGUUGGACCCGUGUCCUCCUAGGAGGGGAUCGUCUUCAAAGGUAAGUUUCUUUUUUUCUUCCCUACUGAUUUCUUGCCUUCCUUAAUGUACUGGUUAGAACCGUUCGUUUGUGAUUUAGCUUUAUAUCAUAGUUGCGCCCUGGGUGUACCAUGUGUUUGUAAUAUUGUCCAUGUGAUUGUUAUUUUAUCUUGAGAUGUUCGGUUUGCUGCUGCUGCUGUGUUAAGCCGGAGUUAGUGAAUUUGGACUGCCCCGUUCAGUUCACUGAACGGUGAAGGGACAAUGCUUAGUUGGCCUUUACCCAUUAGUUGUUUUCAAUGUGAUGUCACGUACUGAUGAGAAAGAUAUGAACAAAUGUACAGGACAAGUUGGUCUACCACUAAAUAAGUGUAUUUUUUUUUUUGUCGAUACGAUAUCUUCUCACGCUAUAAGAAUGGAAGGGUUUGAAGAGAUCCAAGGGUAACUUAGAAAGAACUGAACCAUUAUCGGAUCAAAUAAAUGUAUUGUACAUCCGUUUGAAUUUUUUAAACAAAGCCACGCUAACUAAAUGAGUGUAUAGCUGCUAAUUUUACUGUUUUACAUCCAAUAACACUGCGACUGCAGAAUUUCUGUACUAUUUUUUUUUUGUCACGACUGCAGAAUUUCUGUACUACUUCGAUCAAAAUGUGCCACCCACUUACUGCAUGCUGGCUCAUUGCUCAUGAGAGCGUAUUCCGAAGUCUUGAAUGAAAAAAGGUAUACUUUCAGAAACUUCCCUGAGGUGUAUAACAUUUUCACUUGGUGCCCUUAAAUUUUGAAAAAUCUCGCUUGAUUUCCCUGCUUUAAACUUUUUGUAACAUUUGAAACCCGUUUCAAAAUAUAAUAUUAAAAAACUCAUUUUGGGAAAGAGAAUACAAUUUCGUUCCAAAUUUACCCUUUUGAUGUGAUUUUUUAAUUAUCAUAGCACAUCAAUUUUAUCUCUUAAUUUUUGUAAAUUGAUCAAUGUAGUUCUUUAAUAAAAAUUUAAAAGUUGAUUGUAAGAUUGAAAAACUCUUUAAUGUUUUUGUCUCAUUGGUUCGAACAAGAAAUACUAAUUACUUAAAUUUAUGAAUGAUUUAUAAUACACUUAGAGAUAACUAGCAACAAUUUACAACUAUAAGAAUACCUUUUGCACCAGCUUAAAGUAAGGCACAAACAAAUUUAUAUAUAAUUUUUAUGGUGUUGUAUCUUUUACUUUCAAACCAUCGACUUGGAAAAAAAUUAGAAAAAAUAAAAAAUAUGCAAAAGAUUUACAAAACUUCUUAAAUUAACUCAAAACACUUACAGUAAAAAACAUUAUCUUUAUAACUUGCAAAAAUUUCAAAUAAACUUUAAAAUAUUAACUUUUGGUAUUCAAAAAAUACAAUAUAUUUUGUCCAAUCAAAAUAAGCAGUCAUACAUUUUGUUUUUGUUUUUAUUUGUUAAUAAUAUACUUACUCUUUUGGGAAUAAAAAGAAAGACAACAAAAAAAAUCAAUUUGGAAUGAGGGUAUAUUUUUAAUCUGCCAAAAUGAAUUCCUUAAUAUUACAUUUUAAAACGAGUUGUAAACGAUAUAAAAAGCUUAAAAUAAAGGAGAUGAGUGGGAUUUUUUAAAGUUUGAAGGUGACAAACGAGAUUGUCAGCUAAACUUGCAACCUUUAUGUAAAAUCCAAAACCUUUAUGUAAACAGGACAGCUUGCCAACUUGCAAAGGUUAACUAAUUGAACGCCACCAAUUUCCCAUGUUGUUGGAAAUUACGCUAUAAUCGAUCCAUUGUGCACAAUGAUUGUUUACAACUUUACAACUUCUUGUUUAUUUGGUAAUACAUUUGAUAUCAAUAGCAAGUUAGUAAGCAACUUGAUUACCACAAUUUUUUUAUUAAAAAAAAGUACUUUUAUAUGGAGAAAGGCAUUCUGCUUCGCUUUUUUUUUUUUAGGGAAUUUUGAUUGUUACUUCUUAUGAAAAAUAUUAAUGCGCUAUAUAUUUUGGAGCAACAGCCAAUAUGAUAUAAAAUCUGAUAUUAAAUUGAUCACAAGGUGCAAAAUUCAUAGGAAUUUUAGAACAAUGCCAAAAAGGCUCCCACUACUAAAGUUUAUACUAAUAAGUUUGCCCCAAAUUACUCUCUACAUCCACAACGAAUAUAACGAUGAUCUUAAUCAUGCGUAGGCCUCAUAUACAUACGACUGGAGGUCAGGUUUUUUGCCCCUCCUACAUUAUAGUAAACUACCCCAUCUGGGAUUAACCAAAAAGAUAAAAAAAAAAAGAAAAAAAAAUCAUAUGUGGGCUGGGUCCAAACAGAGAUAGAGAAAGUCCAAUGUUGGAUUGCAAAGGUCUUAUUUCUCCGUGCAGUGAGGAAAAAACACAGGCACAAACAUAACACGAUAGUAAAAUAAGGAAUCUCAACUAUCUGAUGCAUGAAGUCUGCGCUGCAAAACCAGUCUAUCUAUCAUUAUGCUGAAAAAAGACAAGUUGGCUGUUGAAAAAAGACAAGUUGCCUCAUGAGUAAAAGGGAGUUUGGGUGGUAGUAUAAUAAUAGCUAUUCGCUUAGGUUCCCCCUUAGGUAGCUUAUCCCACGUCGGGGUUGGGGUUUGAUUGGGUUAUAAGUCCCCGGGACAUGCUCAAGAGUUGCCGACUUUUGAGUAUUAUUCUGGGAUUAGGUUUACAAUUCAACAAAAAGUCUAAUUCAGGCUGUUGAAAAAAAAAAUCAUUAUGCUGAAAGUGUGAGUUGCCUUAUGAACAGUGAAUGUGGACUGGUUAUAGCAUAAUUCCCAGCAACUUGGUGGUCUUCUGUUCUGUUAGCUACGCGUGAACUUCAAGAAGACUGGUCCAGCCAUCUGUGCACCCUUGGAUUGGUUCCAAUUCAAAAUUUGACAGCUGAUCAUCAUUUAGGAACGUUAGGUGCUAGAGUUGAAACGGUAGGUGGUGUCGUCCGAUGCAGUUAGUGGAGGGCCCUGUUGCCGACUGAUUUUGAUGCAUGCAUGCAUGCAUUCCUGCAGACUGGGUUAAUGAAUGCAGCACGUACGUUCUUGGUAACGAGUUUCGCGACAAAAUCACAUGAACAGCUAGGUAUCUUCUUUGCUGCAGCUUUUUAUUAUUGAUUUCUUGUCUUUCCCAGUGUGCUGGUUGGACCCGUGUGCUAGGUAGGUAACUUCUUCAAAGCUAAGUUUUUUUUUUUUUUUUUUUUGCCGAUUCUUUUGUCUUCCUUAGUAUACUGGUUGGAACCGUAGGUGUGCUCUGGCAAACAGUUUUGUGAUUGUUAUAUGCUCAGCUCUGGUUAGAAGCACCAUAGUUGCGCCUGGGUAUACCAUGUGUUGUAACAUUGUCCAUGUGAUUAUUACAUUAUCUUGAGAGGAGAUGCUUGGUUUGCUGCUGCUGUUGUGUUAAGCCGAGUUAGUGAAUUUGGACUGCCACACUCAGUUCACUGAAAGGUGAAGGGACAAUGUUUAGUUGGCCUUUACCCAUUAGUUGUUUUCAAUGUGAUGUCACGUACUGAUGAGAAAGAUAUGAACAAAUGUAUAGGACAAGUUGGUCUACCACUAAAUGAGAGUGUAUUUUUUUUUUUUUUUGUCGAUAUUAUAGCUUUCUAUACGGGGAGGGAGAGGAUCUGAAGAGGUCUAAAGUAAUUCGAAAGGAACUGAAUCACCACCGAAGCACACGAAUAUACUAUUACUUUUACUGUUUUACAUCGCAAUAGCACUACGACUGCAGAAUUUCUGUACUACUUCAAUCAAAAUGUGCCACCCACUUACUGCAUGCAUGCUGGCUCAUUGCUCGUGAAAACCUAUGGUGAAGUCUUGAAUAAAAAAAAGUAUUCUUAUAAUUUCAGAGACCUCAUUUCAGAGACCUCCCCUGAGGCGUCUAACAUUUUCACUUGGUGUUCUUAAAUUUUGAAAAAUCUCGCUUAAUUUCUCUGCUUUAAACUUUUUGUAACAUUUGAUAUUAAAAAACUCAUUUUGGGAAAGAGAAUCCAAUUUCGUUCCAAAUUUACCCUUUUCAUGUGAUUUCUUAAUUAUCAUAACACAUCAAAUUUAGCUCUUAAUUUUUGUAAAUUGAUCGAUAUAGUUCUUUAACAAAAGUUGACUGUAAGAUUGAAAAACUCUUUAAUGUUUUUGUGUCAUUGAUUCGAACAAGAAAUGCUAAUUACUUAAAUUUAUAAAUGAUUUACAAUAUUCUUAAAAACAACCAGUAAUAAUUUACAACUACGAGAAUACAUUAAUUUGUGCACCAGCUUAGAAAAAAUACAAACAAGUUUAUGUAUAAUUUUAUGAUGUUGUACACUUUUACUUUUCAAACCAUUGACUUGGAAAAAAAUUAAAAAAAAUCUAAAAUAUGUAAAAGAUUUUCAAAACUUCUUAAAUUAACUUAAAACACUUCACAAUAAAAAAAUAUUAUCAUUAUAACUUGCAAAAAUUUCAAAUAAACUUUAAAAUAUUAACUUUUGGUGUUCAAAAAAUACAAUAUAUUUUGUCCAAUCAAAAUAAACAUUCAUCAUUCAUUUUUUUUGUUUUUAUUUGUUAAUAAUAUGCUUACUGUUUUGGUAAUAAAAGGAAAGACAGCAAUAAAGCAAAUUUGGAAUGAGAGUAUAUUUACUCUCCCAAAAUGAAUUCUUUAAUAUUACAAUUUAAAAUGAAUUGUAAAUGAUAUAAAAAGUUUCAAGUAAAGAAGAUAAGUGAGAUUUUUUAAAGUUUGAAGGUGACAAAUGAAAUUGUCAGAAACCUCAGUGGAGGUUGAGGUGAGGUUUCUGAAAUUAUCCCUAAAAAAACUCCUAGUACAAAUGGAAAAGGACCCCUCUAUUAAUUUGUCCUUUUUUUUUUUUUGGUCAAAAUGGUACCCUAUUUGAGUACGGUCGAAAAUAGAAACAGACAACAUAUUCCAUGGUAAAAUCCCAACUUUUAUGUAAACCGGACAGCUUGCCAACUAAUUUCCCACGAAGUUCGCGUGCACCCAGUGGACUACACCUGACAAAACAAAAGACCCCCAAGUUGCUGGGAAUUACGCUAUAAUCGAUCCUUUGUGCGCAAUGAUUGUUGUGUAUAACUUCUUGUUUAUUUUGUAAUAUAUUUGAUACUAAUAGCAAGUUAGUAAGCAACUUGAUUACAACAAAUUGAAAAAAAAAAGUAUUUUUAUUUUGGUUGGUAAUUUUUGAAGUAGAAGUAAAUAUAGAUUUCAGCAGGUACUGUCUGUUUAAGUUAUUCCUUAGUGUUUUUCUAAUUUUUAUGCUUGUGUGACAAAAGUUGAAUCCUUUUUUGCUUUGGGAGAUUUCUCCUGAGUUUAAAAAAAACCACUUUGUUUUCAGGGUGUAUUGGAUGUAUCCAUCAUUAAUCUUGGUUGUUGGGAAUGGUAAAGAACAUUUAAUGUCCAUACACAAUUUCGAGGUACAAAGUAGUAUGACAUAUAUAUUUACAAACUUCCUUUGGUGAUAUGCCAGGCAACCCGCCACUGGCACUUUGGCCUGGGGUUCAUUGUCAAGCACUCAAGUCUCGAUAGCAUUGGAAAGUGAAAGAUUUAACCCUUGCCAAAAAAAAAAGAUAUGCCAGGCAACUUGACUGUGGUUCAUCUUGAUGUUACGAGAACUAAUGCAACAGUUUUUUCAAAAUAUUCUACAAUUGUAACAACAAAAGUCUUACCAAACUCCACCACAUGCCCAUGUCCAUCUCACAAAAAAUGAUAGUAUAUUAUUGUGUGCUAGUUGAAUUCCCAUGAAAAUUCGAGCAGCUUCCACCACAUGCACAUGGAUUUCCAUCUCUCGAAAAAGGUGUAUUAUUGUUUUUUUUAUAUAAUCCACAGAUAUUCGUAUCUAUUUUACUGUUUGUUCUAGUUAUGGUACGUAAUUAAAAAAUGGCAAUAAAUAAGUUCAGGAUAACUAAUUAAAUAGGAUUAAUGAUAUUUCUUACCUGAUUAAACACUCUAAGUGCCCUUACAAAAUACAGUCACAAAAUGACACCAAUUGAUGCUCCAAUAUGACGCUAUUUUGUGAUUGACAGCACUUGAAAGGGCAAUCCAAAUUGUAUAUUAUUUGUAUAGAAGAGAAGUAGAAGCAAGAAAAAUAUAAGAGAAAGAAACCUCUAGACAAUACUCCAUAAGAGAAUAAGUUCUAGUGGUUUUGGUUGACCUCACUCUAUCUUAAGCAUUCAUGAAAUGGAAGGAGAAAGAAAGCAGAAAUCAAGGCAAAAUCUAAGGAUUUUUUUGUUAAAAAUUUGUGACAAUCAAAAAAUAAUAGGUAAGCAAUCUUUUAUCAUUUCAAAUUAAUACAAAAAGUUUCUUUAGUAAAGGAGAGUUUUUGGAGUUGGAUGUACACUUUUAUACGUUUUAGAAUCUCAGAUUUCUGAACGUAUGUUCGUUGCUUCUUCUAGUUGUUGCUACUGUACUUGUUUUAUUUACCCUUAUAUCCUCUUCGGUUUCACUAACUGGUUCCACCUUUUAAUGUUUUUCAUUCUUUUACUAAUACAACCUCACAAGAAACAAAAAGGGUAUAAAUGGAAUAACAUUAUUAUCUCACUUGUCAAAAGAUUUUUUUUUUAAUGACAUUUUCUUUGACAUAGGCUGAAUCUGCUAUCAAAAUUUUAAGUUCAAGGGAAGUUAGUGCUAUUUUUAAAACCCCAGUAAAGGUGAGUGCAACUACUAGAAACCUCAAGGGAGGUUUCUGCAAUUAUCCCUUAAAUAAAAGUUGACUGGGAAGACCAAGUAAGUCGUCAAGACCAGCUGUAGCUAGAAAAGUAGUAGUGCUAUUUGCAGCCAAAUAUCCAUUCCAAAUCAUAUUAGUAGUAUUCUAUCGUUGCAACGGCUGAAUUGUUUGUUCCAAAGAUAAUAGCUGAAUUGGGUGAUGGUGUCCUGAAGCAGCUCGGGAAGAAGGUUAACCUGGUGAUGGGGGUUGAAGAAAUGGAUGUCUUUGACUGUGGUUCAUCUUGAUGUCACGAGAACUAAAGGAACAGCUCAUUCAUAUAUUCUACAAUUGUAACAGCAAAGUAUAAUAUUUGUCUCACUCUGGUCUUUUAAUUAAUGUACAAAAUCUAUCCAUUAAGUGUUGUGAAUUGUGUUGAAUCGUGGCCAUUAAGUGUUGCAAUUUAUUAUUUGGAUUAUGUGUACAUUUUUUGUCAUUGUGCACACUUAGUAAAAUAAUGAUUGGAUUUAUGCUUUUCGUCAAUUAUUCUGUGUAUUGUUUGUCACUGACAAGAGCCUAAAUAGUUCAUUAGUUAUAAAAAUAAUUAAAACACAUCAAAACUAAUUAAUAAAACACACUAAAAACAUGUAAAAUACACACUUAUCAUGUGCCAUACAUCCAAAGUUGCACAUGUCGCUUGAGGAUCGUUUUUCCUUCACAGACAAAUUGAUGAACUGCACUAGGGGAUCUGCUACUUCUCAACUUGACAUACAAAUGCGUGAACUACCACUCUGAACUCUGAACUUGCAACAGAAUGUUGGUAUUAAAUUGUACACAGCUUGACAUACAAAUGCCUGAAGUACCACUCUGAACUUCCAAUAGAAUGUUGGUAUUGUAUUGUACACGACUAUGCUUGUUUCUUGUGUAUCACAAAGAAAGUGGUGAAUCUGCACGUAAAGCAGUAUAUUACUUAUGGUACUCCAAUUUUAUCAGCACCAUUAGAAUGAUUUACUUUUAAGAAGAUCCUAUAUCAAACGACAUACAACUUAUAUGAUAAACACAAACUAAAUAAUGGUUUACUUCCUUAAUUUUAGAAAUUCUCAUGUUUGUAUCCCUCACUUAAACAUGUCAUGAUUUUGAUUAUAUUUCUGUUGGUGAAUUAUUAUUUUUAGUUCAUUUUAUCCUGUUGUGAUUUAGUGUUCUUCAGUUAAAACAAAUUAAUACAUAAAUCUCCUCGACUAUUUUGGGUGAAAGCCUAACAAUAAUUGCCACAUGCUGUUUGAAGAAACUAUAGAAAUCAGAAGAUUUUACACUUAGUCGGCGGAAUGCACUCAAACAAUAAGUCAAUAUGUUACUUUGUAUGAUUUAUGCAGGCCACAGAACACCCAAAAGAAAUACCCUUUAAAUUUUGGAUUGCAUGCAAUUGCUUGGGAAGUUUGAGAUGAUUUACAUAUCUCCUUGUUAUUUUGAAGUUAACAUGGAUUCUAGGCAUGCAAAUGAGUUGGUUCUAACAUUCAGACCUACUGAAUUUUUUUUCAUAAUCACACCAAAACAAACCCUCAUGAAUUUAAUGCUAUUAUAGUAAAAUUAGUCAUGCAUGUGUCGGAAUAAAAAUUUUUGUUUAGGAACCCAUCCAAAUGGAUCACCGAUAAUACUAAUUUCAUACUGUCUCUCUAUAGCUUUUUUAGUACAAAGGUAUGACUUGAUAAAAUUCAGUUGAUAUAUAAUUUCCAUUCCGGAAUCUAGAACGAAUGCAGUUGUUGAACUUAAUGCACAUGAGGAGCCCAGGCAUUUAUGUGUAGAGAUCAACAAUCAAAUCAUUAGUCUUGGACAAUAUACGUAACCACUGAUUUUAGUGGCUUUUUAUCCUAAAUUGACUUUGCUAUUUUCUUUGAGACUUAUAAACUGUAUAAAUUGCUUAGAUAUAGCCAUGAUACUGUAUAUAUGAGAAUUCUUUUUGGGCUUCUUUUGCAAAUGUGGCAUACCUGAGUCUAAAUCCUAGUUUAUUAUGUGUGAAUAUAUUCAACAGUCCCUCUUAGUCUCUCCACCACCUGCUAAUUUUUUAUGUUGUUAUCCUCUCCCAGCGACCUUAUUUAAUUUGCCAGACAAUUUGGUACAUCUUGAAGGAAUGGGCAGCCCACAUAAUUUUCCAAAUAAUUCUUCUGCUACUUCCAGGAUGCCUUAAAUCCAAUUUCCAGUCUUUGAAGAACUUUAGCACUCUUCAGGGAGUACUCUGUCAACUUGUACUGAUAUGUUUUGGCCAUCAAUAUUAGAAGAAUGGGACCCUCUUAACUUGAUCAGUAAAAUCAAGAAAGAGGUCUCUUUUGCUUUUCAUUUUUAAAGUGAUAUCAGCACAAAGCCUAUAGUCAGUCAAUACUGUAUCAUACAGGUAAGCACUUUGUGUAGUUUAUAUUUUUUGAAUGGGUCCUUGCAAACUAGUCUUGCACUUGCAGUCUUGUUCGGGAGCUGCAAGAUGUUGACUACGUUCAAAAAGAAAAGAAAAAGAAAAUGUUGGUUGGCCAAGUUGAGAAAAUCAGGUACUGGUAAAUAUGAGUCAAAUGUUCAUUUCUUUCAGAUCACGCUCAAGAUGAAUAAUUAUUGGGUCCUCAAAUUCAAGGAGACAAAGUCCACUUCAUUAAAUUUUUUCAAAAAUGAAACAGCUACCCGAGAUUUCUCGGAAUAUUUAAGAAAUCUUCUCCCGUUGACGGAUUUAAAGAGUUAAUAAUUAUGCUAUUCCUCCCUGCUACUGAUCAAGACUACCGUAUGAUUAGAGGAUGCAUAGUAUAAAUCAAGACUGGCGAAGAAUGGUGGCUACUGAGUUUUACCAAGUUGGUCUUCUGCAACUUAAUCAGGCAAGUCGUCUUACGAAUUUAACAGAGUUGCAUGGUUAUAAUUUCUUCCCGAUCUCUUCCGGUCGCUUUCUAUGUCUUUUAAAUUUGAGCUGAUUUUGAAUUUCAAUUACCUCUAACUUAAGUUUUAAUUUUUGGGCAUACAACACUGUGCACUUCGCAAGUUUCUGAGUAGAUGUAAAAAAUACUUGAUUCUUAUUCUAUUGUCUACUAAAAAUGGUUAGAGACGAUUUAUGACAAGCAGAAAAGGCCAUGAACUUCCCAUAACUGCAGAAUAUCCAGUUCUUGUGAGGUGGUAUCCGUUAAAAUUGAUAGCUUGAUGCUGGGAUGGGAUGCAGAGCUAGGAUUAAAAGGUUAAUUAGUUGGAAUUUUACACUUGGAGAACGUAUAUUUGUUGUACGACAGAUAGAAAUGCUUGUCUGUAUGCAGAUUGUAUGAGAUGAUUGUGGCUACAAUUGUGGUUUUUGUUGACUGAUUCUUUUGUUUUAUUCACAAUUUCACUAGGUAGUUUCUAGCGUACGACUGUAAUAUACUGUCAUGGGCUUGAAUUCUCCGGGGACAUCUUCAGAGACGAAAAAGAUGUUUGUAAGAGAAGAGAUCACUAACGAAGCACAAGACCGAAUAAGCCAAUUACCUGAUGCAAUUCUGUGUCACAUCCUCUCCCUUCUUCCGACUAAAUUAGCAGCACAAACUGGUAUUUUGUCUAAACAAUGGAAGAACGUUUGGCUUUCAAUACCUGCUCUUGAAUUUCAGAUCAAUCUACGGGCAAAUUAUGAGGGUGAAUGGAGUGCCUUUGAUUGCUUUGCAAAGCCUAAAAUUGAGAGUUUUACAAAUUUUCUGGAUCGACUUUUUGCAAUUCGUGACACUUCAGGUAUUAAAAAGUUCAGAUUGGUAUGUGAUCAUCAGGUUGACUCUAGAUGCCUCAAUAAUUGGUUGUCUGCUUUGCAUAAUGUUCAAGAACUUGAUCUCGAUUUGUGGGAGCUCGGGGAGUUCCCUUGGAGUCCCUUCACAAAUAACUCGCUGGAAAUCUUGAAACUGAGUUGCAAUGUUUUGCUCAACAUCCCAUCUUCUGUUUCUUUUCCACGUCUUAAGGUUCUUCAUCUUCAUUCAGUCACAUAUGUGGGCGGCGCAUCGGUUGAAAAGUUACUUUCUUCUUGUCCAGUCCUUGAGGAUUUGCAGAUAUCAAGGGGGCAGUGGGAUAACGUUAGGAAUUUUGUGAUUGCAGUCCCUUCAUUGAAAAGGUUGACUUUGGACUUCAGUACACCUGAGAUGGACUUAUAUGAUGGCGAUGAUUACGAAGAUGGUGUUGAGUACAAACUGAUAAUUACUGCACCAAAUUUGGAGUAUCUAAACCUGAUUGAUUAUAUGUCAGAUUCAAUUCAGGUCAGU